rnacentral:rRNA from 1 species
GAUGAACGCUAGCGGCAGGCUUAAUACAUGCAAGUCGAGGGGCAGCAGGGCGUAGCAAUACGCUGCUGGCGACCGGCAAACGGGUGCGGAACACGUACGCAACCUUCCUUUAAGUGGGGGAUAGCCCAGGGAAACUUGGAUUAAUACCUCGUAAUAUUAUGAGACGGCAUCGUUUUAUAAUUAUAGCUCCGGCGCUUAAAGAUGGGCGUGCGCCUGAUUAGGUAGUUGGCGGGGUAACGGCCCACCAAGCCUUCGAUCAGUAACUGGUGUGAGAGCACGACCAGUCACACGGGCACUGAGACACGGGCCCGAGUCCUACGGGAGGCAGCAGUAAGGAAUAUUGGUCAAUGGACGCAAGUCUGAACCAGCCAUGCCGCGUGGAGGAUGAAGGUCCUCUGGAUUGUAAACUUCUUUUAUCUGGGAAGAAACCCAUGUUUUCCAAUGUGGUUGACGGUACCAGAUGAAUAAGCACCGGCUAACUCCGUGCCAGCAGCCGCAGUAACAC